rnacentral:rRNA from 1 species
UAGGGAAUCUUCCACAAUGGGCGAAAGCCUGAUGGAGCAACGCCGCGUGUGUGAUGAAGGGCUUCGGCUCGUAAAACACUGUUGUAAGAGAAGAAUGACAUUGAGAGUAACUGUUCAAUGUGUGACGGUAUCUUACCAGAAAGGAACGGCUAAAUACGUGCUAG